rnacentral:misc_RNA from 1 species
UCUCCGUAGGUGAACCUGCGGAGGGAUCAUUACAGAGUAUCAUGCCCUUCGGGGUAGAUCUCCCACCCUGUGUAUUUAUACCUUUUGUUGCUUUGGCGGGCCGCCCUAGGCCACCGGCUCCGGCUGGUGAGCGCCCGCCAGAGGACCCCAAACUCUGAAUAUUAGUGUCGUCUGAGUACUAUAUAAUAGUUAAAACUUUCAACAACGGAUCUCUUGGUUCUGGCAUCGAUGAAGAACGCAGC